GCAGGCUGCAACUCGCCUGUAUGAAGUCGGAAUUGCUAGUAAUCGCGGAUCAGCAUGCCGCGGUGAAUACGUUCCCGGGCCUUGUACACACCGCCCGUCACACCAUGAGAGCCGGGAACACCCGAAGUCCGUAGUCUAACCGCAAGGGGGGCGCGGCCGAAGGUGGGUUCGAUAAUUGGGGUGAAGUCGUAACAAGGUACC
rnacentral:rRNA from 1 species